rnacentral:rRNA from 1 species
UACGUAGGGUGCGAGCGUUAAUCGGAAUUACUGGGCGUAAAGCGUGCGCAGGCGGCUACUUAAGCCAGAUGUGAAAUCCCCGGGCUCAACCUGGGAAUGGCAUUUGGAACUGGGUGGCUAGAGUGCGGCAGAGGGAGGUGGAAUUCCACGUGUAGCAGUGAAAUGCGUAGAGAUGUGGAGGAACACCGAUGGCGAAGGCAGCCUCCUGGGUCGACACUGACGCUCAUGCACGAAAGCGUGGGGAGCAAACAGG